rnacentral:lncRNA from 1 species
CUUUUCUGGUUUCCUGCAGCUCAGCACAUACCUGCUGAAAGUUUGGAUUCCCCAGCUGUCUCUAUUCUUUUCACAACCAUAUAGUAUCGCACAAACAGGAUGCUUGCUAGACAGACUUCCAUCUUUUCACGAGAUAAACUUGGACUUAUGAAACAGGGUUACCACCCUGCAAGUAUAUCAAGCUCAUUCAUACCAUACAUCACAAAAAUUUCAGUGAUCAAGCAUGGGUAAAACAGUCAAUAACCUAUAUGCAUGGUAGAUCCAGCAAACUUCACCUUGAAUCACCUUCGCAAGGGCAUCUAUCAACAUCAACCAAACACGGUCUUUAGCUAUCAGUGAACCGCCUGGCAAAUCAUUAUAGGAAGUGUUUAUGAUCGGAUACCA